GACGAACGCUGGCGGCGUGCUUAACACAUGCAAGUCUACGAGAACGAGGUAGCAAUAUCUCUAUUAAAGUGGCGCACGGGUGCGUAACACGUAAGCAAUCUACCUUUGGGUCUGGAAUAACUUCGAGAAAUCGGGGCUAAUACCGGAUAAUGCAGCGGCACCGCAUGGUGAUGUUGUUAAAGUUUAAGUAAUGCCUUUAGAUGAGCUUGCGUCUGAUUAGCUAGUUGGUAGAGUAAUAGCCUACCAAGGCAACGAUCAGUAGCUGGUCUGAGAGGAUGAUCAGCCACACUGGAACUGAGACACGGUCCAGACUCCUACGGGAGGCAGCAGCGAGGAAUAUUGGGCAAUGCCCGCAAGGGUGACCCAGCAACGCCGCGUGGAGGAUGAAGGCCGUAAGGUUGUAAACUCCUGUUAGAGGAGAAGAAUAGUACCGAUUGGAUCGGUAUUUGACUGUACCCUCAGAGAAAGCCCCGGCUAACUACGUGCCAG
rnacentral:rRNA from 1 species